GUCCUAGCCCUAAACCAUCAGGACUUGGCGUGGCCCGCGUCCGCGGGUCGUGCCGAAGCUAACGCGAUAAGUCCUGCACCUGGGGAGUACGGUCGCAAGACUGAAACUCAAAGGAAUUGACGGGGCCCGCACAAGCGGUGGAACAUGUGGUUCAAUUCGACGCAACGCGAAGAACCUUACCUGGGCUUGAACCGCACAGGACCAGCCGUAGAAUAUGGCCUUCCCGCAAGGGACCUGUGUAGAGGUGCUGCAUGGCUGUCGU
rnacentral:rRNA from 1 species